rnacentral:rRNA from 1 species
GGGUCAGUAGGUUGGUCGUGCCACCGGUACGUACUGGUCUCACUGAUUCCUCCUUCCUGAAGAACCGUAAUGCCAUUAAUUUGGUGUUGCGGGGAAAUAGGACUGUUACUUUGAAAAAAUUAGAGUGUUUAAAGCAAGCUAACGCUUGAAUACAUUAGCAUGGAAUAAUGAAAUAGGACGAUCGAUCCUAUUUUGUUGGUUUCUGGGAUUGACGUA